AGAGUUUGAUCCUGGCUCAGAUUGAACGCUGGCGGCAUGCCUUACACAUGCAAGUCGAACGGCAGCACGGGAGCAAUCCUGGUGGCGAGUGGCGAACGGGUGAGUAAUAUAUCGGAACGUGCCCAGUCGUGGGGGAUAACGUAGAGAAAUUUACGCUAAUACCGCAUACGAUCUAAGGAUGAAAGCGGGGGAUCGCAAGACCUCGCGCGAUUGGAGCGGCUGAUAUCAGAUUAGGUUGUUGGUGAGGUAAAAGCUCACCAAGCCGACGAUCUGUAGCUGGUUUGAGAGAACGACCAGCCACACUGGGACUGAGACACGGCCCACACUCCUACGGGAGGCAGCAGUGGGGAAUUUUGGACAAUGGGCGAAAGCCUGAUCCAGCAAUGCCGCGUGCAGGAAGAAGGCCUUCGGGUUGUAAACUGCUUUUGUACGGAACGAAACGGCUCUUUCUAAUAAAGAGGGCUAAUGACGGUACCGUAAGAAUAAGCACCGGCUAACUACGUGCCAGCAGCCGCGGUAAUACGUAGGGUGCGAGCGUUAAUCGGAAUUACUGGGCGUAAAGCGUGCGCAGGCGGUUAUGUAAGACAGUUGUGAAAUCCCCCGGCUCAACCUGGGAAUUGCAUCUGUGACUGCAUAGCUAGAGUACGGUAGAGGGGGAUGGAAUUCCGCGUGUAGC
rnacentral:rRNA from 1 species